GACGAACGCUGGCGGCGUGCUUAACACAUGCAAGUCGAACGGAAAGGCCCCUUUGGGGGUACUCGAGUGGCGAACGGGUGAGUAACACGUGAGUAACCUGCCCUUGACUUCGGGAUAACUUCAGGAAACUGGGGCUAAUACCGGAUAGGAAUCCUUGCUGCAUGGUGGGGGUUGGAAAGCUUCGGCGGUUUUGGAUGGACUCGCGGCUUAUCAGCUUGUUGGUGGGGUAGUGGCUUACCAAGGCUUUGACGGGUAGCCGGCCUGAGAGGGCGACCGGCCACAUUGGGACUGAGAUACGGCCCAGACUCCGACGGGAGGCAGCAGUGGGGAAUAUUGCACAAUGGGCGGACGCCUGAUGCAGCAACGCCGCGUGCGGGAUGACGGCCUUCGGGUUGUAAACCGCUUUCAGCAGGGGCGAAGCUUGUGGUGACGGUACCUGCAGAAGAAGCACCGGCUAACUACGUG
rnacentral:rRNA from 1 species